rnacentral:rRNA from 1 species
AUGGACGCCGAUGAGGCUGCGGGAAGUAGCAGGAGGAUGGAUCUGAACCUGUACCUCGGCCUCCCCCGCGCCCCGCGGUCCCGCCGCUCCGACCUCGGCUCCGACCUCGCGCUCAGCACCCCGAUGCCCUCCUCGCCCUCCUCCUCCGCCGCCUCCGUCGACGCCCCUCCGCCUCCGGAGCCCCCGCAUGCCCCCUACUCCCCGUCUCGCGCCGACCUGUCUCCCCCGCCACCGGAGGUGUACUCCUCGUACCACCCCGAGGACGCGCACCUGCCGUACGCGCCGCCUCUGCCGCCGGUCAUCCAUGAGCUCCCGGACGACAUCGGCUUCGGCUUCCACCCCCCGCCAUCGCUGGUGCGAGCCAGCGAGUUCCUCUGGGAGGACCGCCCGUCUUCAUCGACGGCCUCCUCCUCCUUUCUCCCCGACGCUGCAACAAGGUACAGGCAGCUGCUUGAGCAGACAGGAAGCCGGUGGCUCCGCUCUAGGCCCACCGGGCGGUUUAGAUCGGACCUUCCACCGCUCAGCUCCGAGGCUCAACCCUUGGGGCAUCAUGAUGCAGCAGUGCCGGUGCCACAUCAUGAGCCGACAAUUGAUGUCGUUGGAGAUGAUAAGGUAACCGGCAAUGGAGUGGAAGUAGGUGCCUCGGAGGAGUCGGAGGAGCGGGGCAAGAGUGUCGCCACAUUUGAGUGCAACAUAUGCUUUGAGAUGGCCGGAGAGCCGGUGGUCACUUCUUGUGGCCAUCUCUUCUGCUGGCCCUGCUUAUACCAAUGGCUUAAUGUUUACUCCAACCACAAGGAAUGCCCAGUCUGCAAGGGCGAGGUGACGGAGGCGAAUAUCACUCCUAUCUAUGGUAGAGGGAAUUCUUGUUCAGAUGCAGAGAAGGCUGUGGAUGAAGGCAAGCAGCCAGGUCUUACAAUCCCACCAAGGCCACAUGGGAAUCGUCUUGAAAGUUUCCGGCAGCAGUUCCAGCACUUACGUCCAAUGUCAAGAAGGCUUGGUGACGCACAUGGGAUACUGUCAUCGUGGAGGCGCCUUCUUGAUCAACAAAUCAUGAGUAGUGUGAGUAGAUUCGAAGGCCCGUCUGAACCAGCUGUGCAUGAAACAGGUGACAUUGCUCCACACACUGGCCGCCUAAGUAGAUUGACCACAAGGAUGAGAGCAAGACGGUUGUUGAGCGAGGUAGAUAACUCUCCUGAUGGUGCUUUUGUUGCCCCUGAUAGUGGUCUGCCUGGAAAUAGUGCGCCAGAUGCACCUAGAGAUGGUUCAAGCCCGGUUUUACCAGAAGGAUUUGAUUUGUUGCAACGGCUUACUCUUAUUGGCAUUGCAAAUACAGAAAGAUUGGCAACUGCCAUGAGUGACCUUAGAAGGAUAGCUACACCUGGCCAACACGGAGCAUCUGCUUCAUACCUUAGAAGGUUAGCUACACCUGGCCAAUACGGAGGAUCUGCUUCAUUGUCGAACCCUUUGAAUCCCGAGGCAACCGUCGACGGAACCCAUGUUGGUGCAGCGCCUUCUACAGACCAAGCAUCAAACUCGAGCACCAUUGCAGUGAUACAGGGGGAUGCAGGUGUUUCUGAGACGGCGGGAGAGCCUAGUAACGCAGGUUCUUCGAGAACCCUGAGGAGGAGGGGGAGGAGCAGUGCGUUGGCUUCUUUAGAUGUGGAUGGUGCUCCCCCACAGCGCAACAAGAGGCGGAGGAUGUAG